rnacentral:SRP_RNA from 1 species
UCAUACCAGCCGGGACAUUAGCGGGGUCCUGUACCUGAAGUCCGCUAUAGCAGGGGUGGUUUCCUGGUUUGAGGACUGAAUCUUAAUAUAUCACCGUAUUUUUAUGUGUUGAAGGGCGGGUCCCGUGCGAUCGGUCGCCGUGAACCAUGUCAGGUGGGGAACCAAGCAGCAUUAAGCGGUUUUUCCGAUGUGCCGCGGGGCGGCCUGCCCGGAGCAUA